rnacentral:rRNA from 1 species
GACGAACGCUGGCGGCGUGCUUAACACAUGCAAGUCGAACGGAAAGGCCCUGCUUUUGUGGGGUGCUCGAGUGGCGAACGGGUGAGUAACACGUGAGUAACCUGCCCUUGACUUUGGGAUAACUUCAGGAAACUGGGGCUAAUACCGGAUAGGAGCUCCUGCUGCAUGGUGGGGGUUGGAAAGUUUCGGUGGUUGGGGAUGGACUCGCGGCUUAUCAGCUUGUUGGUGGGGUAGUGGCUUACCAAGGCUUUGACGGGUAGCCGGCCUGAGAGGGUGACCGGCCACAUUGGGACUGAGAUACGGCCCAGACUCCUACGGGAGGCAGCAGGGGGGAAUAUUGCACAAUGGGCGGAAGCCUGAUGCAGCAACGCCGCGUGCGGGAUGACGGCCUUCGGGUUGUAAACCGCUUUCGCCUGUGACGAAGCGUGAGUGACGGUAAUGGGUAAAGAAGCACCGGCUAACUACGUG